UCUUCCCCCUUUCUCACUCUCGCACCCGCUCUUGCCACCAUCUCGUUCCCGUAUUCCCUGUCAAUCUCUCUUCCUCAUUCUCUCAAUAUGAAACGCAGGCACCAGCCCUCAAUUGUUUGAGAGAGGCUUAAUUUCUGGGAGUCUUCUUCUCCAUUAUUUCAAGUAGGCUCUUCUCAAGUCACUUCGAAAUUUAGUAAAUCUGCUAUCAUCAACGACUAAACGGUCCCGAGCGUCGUGGACGAGUAAGGGGACUUGGACUUGGGGUUACACCAUCAAAAGUAGAUGGAAAUACACAAAGCAGUGAGAAAGUGAGAGAACUUGAAAGCAAAUUACAAACUCAAUCAGUAAGGAUGGAAGCACUCGAAGAAAAGAAUCAAAAUAAGAAUGUAGAGGACAUGAAUUCACGUACUUUUACUCCACAGGUUUUUGUAUCGUAUAUUAUUUGUUCAAUAUAAAUUCAGAUUAUAUCAUACUAGUUUUAAAAAUAUUUUUAUUUUACUGCGAAUUUGUAGUCCCAACAAGGAAGUGGCAUGGAGGGAGGUAUUGUACCAGUGGAAAAUGGAAAGUGUCAACUAUUGCACUGGUACAUGUUUGAGGAGGAAAUCGUAGGCGAAGGGAAGAUUGCAUCAAUAGACCCAAGUGCAAAGGUGCAUCCCGUGCCACUAGGACGAGAUUGUUGGAAGGUUUGGGUUGACGAGGUGUACAUGAGUCAUUUGCCCUUAUAGACCAACGGAUGAAUUUUGAGUUCUUAGUGACGCCAUAGGAAGUGCUGUUGCUUGGCC